UCCAGAUGGAGCGCAUUAACGAUGAAAUAAAAAUAUGAGGUGCAAAGUGACCCCAAAAAAUGAAAAUGGGGUAGGGAAAAACCAUUUCCCUUUUUAGAUUCAACACAAAAAUCCCAUGUUUUGUCACCACAUAAAGUGAAGCUGUAUGUAUGGCUACUCAAUCUCUUCUACAAGAUGCUGCCUUUCAUCAGAAUGAGAACGGUGGACUGUACACUAGAGAUGGUUCUGUUGAUAUCAAGGGUAAUCCUGUUUUAAAGAGUGAGACAGGGAACUGGAAAGCUUGCACCUUUAUUCUUGGUAAUGAAUGUUGUGAACGUUUGGCGUACUAUGGCAUCUGUCUUAAUCUUGUUACCUAUCUUACCAAGAAAUUACAUGAGGGAAAUGUCUCAGCUGCUAGAAAUGUCACAAUUUGGCAAGGCACGUGUCACCUAACACCCCUUAUUGGGGCUGUGAUGGCAGAUGCAUAUUGGGGAAGAUAUUGGACAAUUGCUACCUUCUCUAUUAUCUACUUCAUGGGAAUGUGUACAUUGACACUAUCAGCUUUAGUUCCUGCUUUUAAGCCCCCUGAAUGUGUGGGUUCUGUGUGCCCUUCAGCAACUCCUACCCAGUAUGCCAUAUUCUUUUUUGGACUCUAUCUGAUUGCUCUUGGAACUGGUGGGAUUAAGCCAUGUGUAUCGUCAUUUGGUGCGGAUCAAUUUGAUGACACAGAUCCAAAAGAGAGAGUUAAGAAGGGAUCCUUCUUCAAUUGGUUCUAUUUCUCCAUCAACAUUGGAGCUUUGGUGUCAAGCACUUUUAUUGUAUGGAUUCAAGAAAAUGUUGGAUGGGGCCUCGGGUUUUUCAUCCCUGCAGUUUUUAUGGGGAUUUCCAUUGCAAGUUUCUUUUUUGGUACACCACUCUACAGAUUUCAAAAGCCUGGGGGAAGUCCUCUCACAAGAAUGUGCCAGGUUCUGGUUGCAGCAUUCCACAAAUGGAACUUGUCUGUCCCCGAUGAUAGUACACUACUUUAUGAAACCCCAGACAAAAGCUCUGCAAUUGAAGGAAUCCAAAAGCUACUGCACACUGAUGAACUGAGGUGCCUUGACAAAGCUGCUGUAGUUUCAGACACCGAAUUAAAAUCUGGGGACUAUUCCAAUGCUUGGAGGCUCUGUACUAUUACACAGGUUGAGGAACUGAAAAUUUUGAUCCGCAUGUUCCCGAUAUGGGCAACUGGAAUAAUCGUUGCUGCUGUUUAUGCACAAAUGACGUUGUUUGUGGAGCAAGGGAUGGUAAUGGACACUUCCAUUGGUUCCUUCAGAAUUCCUCCAGCAUCUCUUUCACUUUUUGAUAUCUUAGUGUUAUUUUAUGGGUUCCAGUCUAUGAUAGGAUCCUUAUUCCAAUUGCAAGGAGGCUUACUGGAAAUGAAAGAGGAUUUUCCAAGUUACAGCGAAUAGGAAUCGAACUUUUCCUUUCUGUGUUGGGCAUGUCAGUUGCUGCUAUCGUUGAGUUCAAGCGUCUACAACUCGCAAGAGACCUUGGUUUGGUGGAUGAAACAGUUGCAGUACCUCUCAGUAUCUUUUGGCAGAUUCCGCAGUAUUUUAUACUGGGAGCAGCUGAGAUCUUUACUAACAUUGGGCACCUUGAGUUCUUUUAUGACCAGUCACCCGAUACAAUGCGUAGCUUGUGCAGUGCAUUGUCACUGUUGACCACUGCUAUGGGUAAUUACUUGAGCUCUUUCAUACUGACACUAGUAACAUCCAUUACAACUCAAGGUGGCAAACCUGGAUGGAUUCCAAACAACUUAAACAGUGGGCAUCUUGAUUACUUCUUCUGGCUUUUGGCUGCACUUAGCUGCUGCAACUUUGUAAUCUAUCUUUUCUGUGCCAAAAUGUAUAAAUUCAAGAAGUCAUCCUAAGACCAAGUUUAUUUUAUAAGCUAAGUUGAAAUUUGAUGAUUGAAAUUAAAUAUUAUUCAUUUUAUUUUGGAAUUUUUAAA